GCAAACUUGGUCAUUUAGAGGAAGUAAAAGUCGUAACAAGGUUUCCGUAGGUGAACCUGCGGAAGGAUCAUUAACAAAUCCAUGUGUGGGGAUUAUGGUCCCCGACACUCGUCCCGCGUUCGCGCUUGCGACGCGUCACAUUUAUCUAUCUAUGCUGACUGAUCUGCGCAAACACAACAACUUUUAACAAUGGAUCUCUAGGCUCCUGAUGUGUAUAAGAGACAGGCAAACUUGGUCAUUUAGAGGAAGUAAAAGUCGUAACAAGGUUUCCGUAGGUGAACCUGCGGAAGGAUCAUUAACAAAUCCAUGUGUGGGGAUUAUGGUCCCCGACACUCGUCCCGCGUUCGCGCUUGCGACGCGUCACAUUUAUCUAUCUAUGCUGACUGAUCUGCGCAAACACAACAACUUUUAACAAUGGAUCUCUAGGCUCCUGCAUCGAUGAAGAACGCAGC
rnacentral:misc_RNA from 1 species